GAUGAACGCUGGCGGCGUGCCUAAUACAUGCAAGUCGAGCGAACAGAUGAGGAGCUUGCUCCUCUGACGUUAGCGGCGGACGGGUGAGUAACACGUGGAUAACCUACCUAUAAGACUGGGAUAACUUCGGGAAACCGGAGCUAAUACCGGAUAAUAUAUUGAACCGCAUGGUUCAAUAGUGAAAGACGGUUUUGCUGUCACUUAUAGAUGGAUCCGCGCCGCAUUAGCUAGUUGGUAAGGUAACGGCUUACCAAGGCAACGAUGCGUAGCCGACCUGAGAGGGUGAUCGGCCACACUGGAACUGAGACACAGUCCAGACUCCUACGGGAGGCAGCAGUAGGGAAUCUUACGCAAUGGGCGAAAGCCUGACGGAGCAACGCCGCGUGAGUGAUGAAGGUCUUCGGAUCGUAAAACUCUGUUAUUAGGGAAGAACAAAUGUGUAAGUAACUAUGCACGUCUUGACGGUACCUAAUCAGAAAGCCACGGCUAACUACGUG
rnacentral:rRNA from 1 species